rnacentral:tRNA from 1 species
CUCUCGAUAGCUCAGUUGGUAGCAGCGCGGGACUGUAAAUCCCGAGGUCACCGGUUCGACCCCGGUUCGGGAGA